rnacentral:rRNA from 1 species
UCUGGAGACAGGUGCUGCAUGGCUGUCGUCAGCUCGUGUCGUGAGAUGUUGGGUUAAGUCCCGCAACGAGCGCAACCCUUGCCUUUAGUUGCCAGCAGUUCGGCUGGGCACUCUAAAGGGACUGCCGGUGUUAAACCGGAGGAAGGUGGGGAUGACGUCAAGUCCUCAUGGCCUUUAUGACCAGGGCUACAAACGUGAUACAAUGGCUGGAACAAAGGGAUGCGAAGCAGUGAUGUGGAGCGAAACCCAUAAAAACAGUCUCAGUUCGGAUUGAAGUCUGCAACUCGACUUCAUGAAGUCGGAAUCGCUAGUAAUCGCGGAUCAGCCAAGCCGCGGUGAAUACGUUCCCGGGCCUU